ACCACUUACCUCUUGAAGCCCGACUUCCUAUUCCCUAGCUUCUGAAAGGAUAUAUCACCCAAAGUAGCUACAUAGACAUAGGAAGUAGUGUAUAGAUUACACUAGUAUACAUGAACUAUCAGCAACCAUAUAACUCAUAAGGCCAACGUCUGUCUGUACGCAGUAAGAGUCUGACGUAGAUCCUCUGAGACAUUAAUGACCUGAGACACACACACACACGGUCUGUGGCUCAGCAUUGAUGUCAGUGCCCAGUGGGAAGAGGGUCAGACUGAGACUGGGGAGACACUAAGAAAGAGAACAUACAGAGUGGCGUCAUCCCCUUGGACGCUUUGACACACACACAACAUCACUGCAUGUGACUGUGUGUCUUUGUUUCAGGGUGGGGUGAAGGUGUUGAUAACAGGUCCCUGGCUGGAGGCCAGCAGGGAGUACAGCUGUCUGUUUGACCACAUCAGUGUCCCAGCUGCUCUCAUACAGCCAGGAGUACUGCGCUGCUACUGCCCUGGUAACACACUCACACACACAGAGACAUGCAUACACUCAGCAAACUAGUUUCUCAUGCACACACUCUAUUACUAAUCCCAACCCGUGUGUGUGUGUGUGUGUGUGUGUGUGUGUGUGUGUGUGUGUGUGUGUGUGUGUGUGUGUGUGUGUGUGUGUGUGUGUUUGUGUGUGUGUCUUAGCCCAUGAAACAGGUUUGGUGAUGCUGCAGGUGGCUAUGGGUGGGGAUGUGAUCUCUUCCUCUGUGGUGUUUGAGUAUAAAGCUCGAGACUUGCCCGCCCUGCCCUCCUCACAACACGACUGGUUGUCCCUGGACGAUGAGCUCUCUGUCGUGCGUAGCUGGCAGGCUAUGCUCCAUUCUGAUUGGCUGUAGUAGUUGUGUUAAAGGGGAGGAGCUCUUAUGUCACAGUUGUCGUCCCACCCUCUUCUCCUCCUCUGUGUGUGCCGCAUCCUGAGAGAGAGAGAGAGAGAGCGAGAGAGAGAGAGAGAGAGAGAUAGAGAGACGGAGAUGGAGAUGGAGAGGGAGAAAGAGAGACCAUCAGGUGGGGAUGACAUAAUCUGCACUGCAGCAACACUGCAGUAGCAUUUGAACAAAGACGCGCGCAAGCACACACACACACACACACACAGUGCAAGUACACACUCCUGUUCUCUCUCACAUAGAUACAAACAUUGACUAUUGUU
rnacentral:lncRNA from 1 species